ensembl:lncRNA
GGAUAAAUCGCUUGUGUCAUAUUUCAUCAGAGAUGGAGCAAAUAAAAGAUCUUGAAGGGUCAUUUAAUUCACCUAGUUGGCCAUUUUGAUUGCCACUAUCGCUGCUGCUAUCAAAUUCUAGAAUUAUUUCCCCCUUUUGGGAGAAAGAAAUACCAGCAUGGUGUCUCUCCAGGAAAUCUGGGCCUAACAGAUGAGUGGGAGUGGAGGAACUUAGGAGAAAAGAGUGAGUGUCCCUCAGAGGGCCCAAACCAACGGGCAUGGUCUAGAUACAGGGGCCUGUUGGGGUUCACUGUCUGCGCUGUUUCAGCACACGAGGCAGCACUGUUUACUCGCAGUGGGGCUGAGCACCAAGAGCGCAGCACCAGUGUCGAUGAGUGCAGGGAAAGACUCAUUCCCAAUCUGGACAGUGCUCCCCCCAAGCUGACUAAGGGAAAGGAUUGGGAAGAGCCCUGCGCUUCCUCGGAGCCCCAUUACUGGGGACUGGGGGGGACACUGGAAGGGUUGAUUGGAGGGCUGAAAACCCCUGGGGUUUUUUAGCUUGCAACAGUCCCUUCUCCAAUGCCCUGGCUUUUUACAGAAAUGACAGACACUGGAAGUUUCUGGUUCCGUCCGGAAGCCUCUAUUUGUUGGAAUUGAAAAUUUAAGAUUUUUGUGGUCUUUUCUCUAGUUAAAUCCUCUAUGGUCUGAGUGAGCUGACUUGCCAAACUGACCAAAUCUGGAGCAGACGUGGUCUCCCACUCCAUCCGGGUCCUCUUCACUACAAGGAAAGAUCUCGCUUCAGCCCACUAACAGCCACAGAAUAAAAGCUGCCUGAGGGUCCAGCCCGGUGGCGCAGUGGUUUAAGUGUGCACGUUCCGCUUCAGCGGCCCAGGGUUCACUGGUUCAGAUCCCGGGUGCGGACGUGGGACUACUUGGCAAGCCAUGCUGUGGUAGGCAUCCCACAUAUAAAGUAGAGGAAGAUGGGCACCGAUGUUAGCUCAGGAACAGGCUUCCUCAGCAAAAAGGGGAGGAUUGGCAGCAGAUAUUAGCUCAGGGCUAAUCUUCCUCAAAAAAAAAAAGCUACCUGAGUGGAUUCAGCUUCCCUGGGAGGCCAGAGUUUCCUUUGAAAGUGAUCUGAAGUCGAUUAAAACAGUCAUGAACACAUUCACCAGGCUUUUGCAUACAAGCCUGAAUUUUGUUCCAACCAACAGGCCUGGGAAAGGCUACUGGGAUUGUUUGGUGGGUUUUCCAGCAAGUGUGCUAAUUUCUUGCCAAAACUUAGGGGUUUGUUUUUCUAAAUCCCUUUCGGGAUGUUCCCAUCAGGCAACUUUCACCCAAUAUUGGGCCUGGCCUUCCCCAAUAAGCGUAUGAACUAAAAUCUGAAAAUCCCAGCUGGUAGGUCUGAAUAACUACAUUAAAUUCAUCUGCAAAUCUAUGGGGGUCCUUGGUUGCCUUUGGAAAAUCCUUACCGAUGGCUUUCAAUUCAGCAGUAGUCCAUUGAACAUAAGAGACCUGAGGUCUGUUUGUAUCCUCAGAGGGGAGCCUGAGACAAAGGAGCCUGGUUCAGCCUUCUGGGGAAAGCUGUCUGCCUCACGUCAGCUGCUUCUCUUCCUGGUCAAUUAGAUUUGGAGGCCUCCAGCAUUCGUGCAGGACCAGAUGUCAUGUGGAGCCUUCUUUAGCUGGGAGAUGUGUCUCCAAGGUUCAAUGCCUCCUAGUUCUGAAACAGCGUCAGUGGUCAGGAGCACUUGGUAAGGUCUUUUCCAACGGGGCUCAAGGGCUGUCUUCCUCUGAUGAUGCUUCCAGAAUACCCAGUCACCAGCUUCUAGACUGACCAACAGGAUCCUUUAAAUUGGGAUCCAGGAAAGCUUCUUUAACCUGUUAAUGAUGGGCUUGAGCGUAAGACAUUAGAGUCUUACGGUAGCUGGUCAUACUAGCAUAAGACGACAAGGGGUCAGCAGAAGGUUGUGUACCAACAGACACUGAUCUGCCAGUGACCGUCCCGUGUGGAGUCAGUUCAAGUUUUCCAAAGAGGGCACUGUGAACUGUCAGCAAGACCAAAGGCAACACCUUAGGCCAGGGUGGGUCCAGUCUACAGGUGUAUAAGAAAACUUCAAAGGCAAUUCACGGGACCAGAUUCUAUAUCCACAAGUGAAAAUGAGAAUAUUCACUGAGAGUUUCUGAAUUCUGGAGGGAUUGGGUAGGGAGAAAAAGUAAACCUUUCAUCUUUAUUCACAAAGAUUUUUUUACAUCUGGAAAAACAAAACCUUUGAGCAUCCUCCUCAGUUCAGGUCGUCCCAUGUAAUUAAUAUUUGUUCUAGAUCUUUUGUUAGCAGUUUUAUGAAGCCAUCAGUUUCUCCAUUAGAGUUCUGUAUUUUCUUAUCCAGUUCAGUUUUAUGGUCUGAAAGUUUGCCAGAAACCUGUAAUCCAGAGCAAGUGUCAGAGUCCUUUCCACGAACCUCUCUAAAGAUGAAACCUAUUUGCAAAAGAUUCAGAGUAAAAGAGUAACUCUCUGUAUAUGACAAAAGACUUAAAAUGGCAUGGUUAAAGAUCCAAUUACAUUGCAUUUUACAAGGAAAUUUGGU